rnacentral:lncRNA from 1 species
AUUUUUGAUUAGCUGUUACAGGAAUGGUCUCCUUUUUUUGAGACAGGAUCUUGCUAAGUUAGGGCCUUAGGGCCUUACUAAAUUGCUGAGGCUGGCUUUCAACUUUCUAUCCUUCUGCCUUAGUCUGCUGAACCACUGGGAUUACAAGUGUACACCACUGUGCCCAGCUGAAUGGUAUCUUUUAUACAAAAAUUUGAAUAAUAAAUAGCUGAUAUGAGUUUGGCUGGUUCUUUUUUUGUCAGUAACAUAAUAUGAAAUUGUUGGAUGGUAUGUAUAUUUGUCCUCAUACUAAGAAAGCUAAUGUAUCAGAAUGUAAAUUUUUUAUGCAGAUAUAUUUUGUGGAUAAUAUAUUUCAGAAGUAAACUGACCUCCAUAAGAGGAUAAGCAGCUUCCAGUUAGGUGUUUACAUACUUUUACUUAAGUAAAGGGAGUUAGACACAGUUGAAUUUUUUUUUUUUUUCAUGUUUUUUUUUUUUAAUUUUUUUUAUUGGUUGUUCAAAACAUUAUAAAGCUCUUGACAUAUCAUAUUUCAUACAUUAGAUUCAAGUUGGUUAUGAACUCCCAAUUUUACCCCAAAUACAGAUUGCAGAAUCACAUCGGUUACACAUCCACAUUUUUACAUAAUGCCCUAUUAGUAACUGUUGUAUUCUGCUACCUUUCCUAUCCUCUACCAUCCCCCCUCCCUCCCCUCCCAUCUUCUCUCUCUACCCCAUCCACUGUAAUUCAUAUCUCUCCUUGUUUAUUUUCCCAUUCCCCUCACAACCUCUUAUAUGUAAUUUUGUAUAACAAUGAGGGUCUCCCUCCAUUACCAUGCAAUUUCCCUUUUCUCUCCCUUUCCAUCCCACCUCAUGUAUCUGUUUAAUGUUAAUCUUUUCUUCCUGCUCUUCCUCCCUGCUCUGUUCUUAGUUGCUCUCAUUAUAUCAAAGAAGACAUUUGGUAUUUGUUUUUUAGGGAUUGGCUAGCUUCACUAAGCAUAAUCUGCUCUAGUGCCAUCCAUUUCCCUGCAAAUUCUAUGAUUUUGUCAUUUUUUAGUGCUGCGUAAUACUCCAUGGUGUAUAAAUGCCACAUUUUUUUUAUCCAUUCAUCUAUUGAAGGGCAUCUGGGUUGGUUCCACAGUCUAGCAAUUGUGAAUUGUGCUGCUAUGAACAUCGAUGUAGCAGUAUCCCUGUAGUACGCUCUUUUAAGGUCUUCAGGGAAAAGUCCAAGAAGGGCAAUAGCUGGGUCAAAUGGUGGUUCCAUUCCCAGCUUUCCCAGGAGUCUCCAUACUGUUUUCCAGAUUGGCCGCACCAGUUUGCAGUCCCACCAGCAAUGUACAAGAGUACCCUUUUCCCCACAUCCUCUCCAGCACUUGUUGUUGUUUGACUUCAUAAUGGCUGCCAAUCUUACUGGAGUGAGAUGGUAUCUUAGGGUGGUUUUGAUUUGCAUUUCUCUGACUGCUAGAGAUGGUGAGCAUUUUUUCAUGUACUUGUUGAUUGAUUGUAUGUCCUCCUCUGAGAAGUGUCUGUUCAGGUCUUUGGCCCAUUUGUUGAUUGGGUUAUUUGUUUUCUUAUUGUUUAAUUUUUUGAGUUCUUUGUAUACUCUGGAUAUUAGGGCUCUAUCUGAAGUGUGAGGAGUAAAAAUUUGUUCCCAUGAUGUAGGCUCCCUAUUUACCUCUUUUAUUGUUUCUCUUGCUGAGAGAAAACUUUUCAGUUUAAGUAAGUCCCAUUUGUUGAUUUUUGUUAUCAACUUUUGUGCUAUGGGUGUCCUAUUAAGGAAUUUGGAGCCCGACCCUACAAUAUGUAGAUCGGAGCCAACUUUUUCUUCUAUCAGACGCAGAGUCUCUGAUUUGAUAUCUAGCUCCUUGAUCCACUUUGAGUUAACUUUUGUGCAUGGCGAGAGGAGGGGAUUCAGUUUCAUUUUGUUGCAUAUGGAUUUCCAGUUUUCCCAGCACCAUUUGUUGAAGAUGCUAUCCUCCCUCCAUUGCAUGCUUUUAGCUCCUUUAUCAAAUAUAAGAUAGUUGUAGCUUUGUGGAUUAGUCUCUGUGUCCUCUAUUCUGUACCAUUGGUCCACCCUCCUGUUUUGGUACCAGUACCAUGCUGUUUUUGUUACUAUUGCUCUGUAAUAUAGUUUUAAGUCUGGUAUCGCUAUACCGCCUGAUUCACACUUCCUGCUUAGAAUUGCUUUUGCUAUUCUGGGUCUUUUAUUUUUCCAUAUGAAUUUCAUGAUUGCUUUAUCCAUUUCUACAAGAAAUGCCGUUGGGAUUUUGAUUGGCAUUGCAUUAAACCUAUAGAGAACUUUUGGUAAUAUCGCCAUUUUGAUGAUGUUAGUUCUGCCUAUCCAUGAACAGGGUAUAUUUUUCCAUCUUCUAAGAUCUUCUUCUACUUCUCUUUUUAGGGUUUUGUAGUUUUCAUUAUAUAAAUCUUUCACCUCUUUUGUUAGGUUGAUUCCCAAGUAUUUUAUUUUUUUUGAGGAUAUUGUGAAUGGAGUGUUUUUCCUCAUUUCCGUUUCAGAAGUUUUGUCGCUGAUAUACAGAAAUGCCUUUGAUUUAUGCGUGUUGAUUUUAUAUCCUGCCACUUUGCUGAAUUCAUUUAUUAGUUCUAGUAGUUUUUUUGUAGACCCUUUUGGGUCUUCUAGGUAUAGAAUCAUGUCAUCUGCAAAUAGUGAUAAUUUAAGUUCUUCCUUUCCUAUUUUUAUGCCUUUAAUUUCUUUCGUCUGUCUAAUUGCUCUGGCCAGUGUUUCGAGAACUAUAUUGAAUAGAAGUGGUGAUAGAGGGCAUCCCUGUCUUGUUCCAGAUUUUAGGGGGAAUGCCUUCAAUUUUUCUCCAUUGAGAAUGAUGCUAGCCUGAGGCUUAGCAUAGAUAGCUUUUACAAUGUCGAGGUAAGUUCCUGUUAUCCCUAGUUUUUCUAAUGUUUUGAACAUAAAGGGAUGCUGUACUUUGUCGAAUGCUUUUUCUGCGUCUAUUGAGAUGAUCAUAUGGUUCUUAUUUUUAAGUCUAUUGAUGUGGUGAAUAACAUUUAUUGAUUUCCGUAUAUUGAACCAUCCUUGCAUCCCAGGGAUGAAUCCUACUUGAUCAUGGUGCACAAUUUUUUUGAUGUGCCNGCCUUCCCACCCAUCCAUCACAAGUGUGGAGUCACUGAUCCAUAUUUACAGGCAUAUUUCUAUGGAAGUUCAGUUGACAGGUUUAUUAUUUAUUUUACAAUUUCAUUUUUGUACACCUUUCAGAUUUUUGAAUGCUUUUUUUUUGUAAAAUUCAUUUUAACUUGAAAGUAUACUUAUAAUCUCCCCUAUUUAAUUAGUAGACCGUAUGUUCAUACACACUAUUAAAUAUUAAUAGUGCAUUGGCAUACUUAUAAGAAUUUCAUAUUUGAAUCCAUAGUGGGUAUAAAAAAAAAAGAAAGAAAGAAAAUCCAUCUCUGCCAACAUCCAUUUUUUUCUGCUGAUUGAAGAGAAGAUAUUUGACAGUUUACCUACUUCCUACAGAUUCAUCUAAACCCAGAUAUUGCUGAGAAGAGUAUAUGGACAUGGAGUAUAUGUCUGUUUUUAGUUCUGCUUUAAAUCAUAACUGUGUAACAAAUAUUGUCAUGAUCUGUUAUACUAAAAUUUGUCAGCCAAAUGUUAGAUGAAAUGUCUGCACUGUAGUCUCUGAUCACUGUCACAUAUAUAAUUGCUUUUUUCAUUUUGAUUUGUAGAAGAGCUUUAUGGUAGAAAACACCAGUAAACAACUUUUAUACUAUUAAAAGGCUUUUUCCCCUUUCUAAAUGUUUUAAAUGUACCCUAGUAUUUUGCCCACUGAAGAAGCUUUUUAUGGACCUUGCAACUUUGUUGCUAGCUUGAGGUUGAUUAUUGUGGUUCUAUUGUUCACUGUGUGUAGAACUAGUAUGAGUACAAUUUAAAUAGAAUGUUCAGUUUUUAAUAUUAGCCAUAGCACUGGUUAGUAUCUCAGUAGUUUCAUGAAACGUUUCCUGUAUUCUAAUCUAUUUUGAGAAAUUUUGUGGGUUUUUUUUUUAAUUGUGUCUUACAGUUCAAGUUUAUAGAUUUUAAUAAGCAACAGUUUUUAAAGAUGCAAUAAUCUUCCAACUAGUAUUUAUCCAUCUUUCAUGAACUCACAAACUGCAUCUUUAAAUCCAUAAGUAAGAUUCCUUAAUCAUACUUUUCUGCUCUUUCAAGCUUAGUGAUGAGGAAGCACAAAAAUUUCAGUAGAAAACAGUUUUUAUUUUGUAAACACUAAUGUAUUAAACUUGCUAUACAUUAAAGCAAAUAAUAUAUAUUUUUAUUUGAAUUGUAUAUAUGAAUUGGAUGUUAUAACUAGUUGAUUUUUUUUUUCAUUGUGUUAGAGGUAUUUUCACUGAACAAGGUCAAUUGGUUACCUCAAUAUUACAGCCAAUAUAGUCCAAGGGACCAUUUUUCCCCUGAGUCUGUGUUAUAUUUUAUUGUGUGAAGUCUGCAUUUUUGUGACUCUUAAAGCUGUUGGUGAGGUGGGAUGAGUGCACUUGUUUCCUGUGGCAAUAAAGAUUUUGUUUGCCUCACAUUUAUGUCCAUAGCACUUUGUGCAUAGCACUUGCCACAGUGGGUACUGUUAGCCUGCUGUACCUCCCUUAUCUGAUUAUUUGGGCUGGGCUUGGGUGUCACAGGACAGGAGCUUAAGUCUUUAAGUUGUAACUAAAUGAGAUGCCAGUUUCCUUCGUUUCUAAAAGAUUAUUUGGGAAAUGGUUGUAGGUUGAUUCUGGUCUAUCAGAGAGAGAUGUUAGUUUAUAUUGUUCUCACUCAUAAGAAGCUUAUAAAGACAUUUUUAAUAGUCUUCACCAUUUUGAACCAACUAAACUAAUAAAUAGGAGAAACAUUAGGAUUUGACAUUUAUAAUAUAUGUUUGUAAAUGUUAAUCUGAUUUGGCCUCAGUGUUACAGGCUAAGUAUGUGAAAUUGUACUAACCUGUAGUAAAGAAGUUUUAAUUGACAAGUUUUGAAGAUGAAUCUUGAGCGAAGAGCUUCAAGGUGACAAGCACUAUGCCAGGUAUUAGGAUAGGGAUGAAGACCACAAAAUAAAUAUAAGAUUCAAUCCUUGCCCUUUGUGAACUCAUAACCUAGUUGGAUGGAAACUAACACCACUCAUAAAAACUACAAAUUUUAAUGUUACAAAAUUGGGAAUAAGGAGCUGACAUCUAAGUGCAUUUUGUGUUAUGUAGUCAUUAUGGUAGUACACAUUUUAUAGGAGAAAGUAUUUCAUGAAUGAGAUGUAGAAGAGACCAGCCAGGACUAAAACGGUUAAUGUUAAGAGGUGAGAUUUGAUACAAAGUCACAGUGGUAAUAUGUUUCAUUUGGAGGCUCUCUUUGUUGUUAAAAAAUAAAAAAUAAAACGAAACAUGCUCUUUUCCUCCUGUCCUUAAUAAAAUUACUUGGGUAAAAGCCUUACCAUUUGGUGAAUAUGAGGUCCCUAGCUCCUAUGUCCUUUUAUAAUUAUAAUUGACAGUAUUAAAGAUUAAAACCUAAAUAGCUGGAUGGUAACUUUAGUUAACAUGCUCCACUCGGCUAUUCAAGUGGUUAAGUAUUAUUAACAACACCCGUUUUCUUAUGACUUGACUUAGUACUGCAUUGAGUCUUCAAAAGAAAAUCUGCCAAGGUAUUAACAUAAUAAAACCAGGAGGUCUGUCUCUUAGGAAGUGAAAUCAAAUACUAAAUAGCUGAAGUUAGAAUUGAGUAAACAUUUUGUGUUUGUAUCAACUUAAAGGAUAUAACCAAAUAUGAUAGCUGAUAUUUAACUGAAAACCACCUUAUGUUCUUAAUCUCAAAAAACCUUGAUGCUUAACUAUUCAUGACUGAGAUGAUUCUUAUUUCCCAUAGAAGUUAUGUUAGAGGUAGGAUUUUUCUUCCUUUCCAAGUUUGCAGUGGUUAAAUAUUUACAAUUUCUUUAGCUUUGCUUUCUACCAACUUAUGGAAAUAGAAGAAGAAAAAAAUUACCUCGAAGGUGUUUUUGCUUUUGGUGCAAAAAAUGCUAAUCAGAAAUUUGUUUUUAAAACUUCUAGUUAACUUAUUAAAGUUAGAAUCCCAAAACUUUCUGUGUGUAUAGUUUUAAGUUCAACCUAGAAAUCUUUGUAAGUUUAGCAAAUUUUAACAAUCAUUUUAAAAAGAACUAUGAAAAUAAUGGCUUCCAUUAUAAAAUUGGUUUGUUAAGCUCCUGAAUUAUUCUUUCAUGUUCUUCUCAUCUGUUA